UUGUUAUAUUUUUAGUAGAGACAGAGUUUCGCCAUGGUGGCCAGGCUGGUCUCGAAUUCCUGACCUCAAGUGAUUGCCUGCCUUGGCCUCCCAAAGUGCUGGGAUUACAGGUGUGAGCCACCACAACUGGCCAGUACUUCACACCUUUCUAUGGCUGAAUAAUAUUCUGUGUUGUGUGGAUAUACAACAUUUUGUUUUUCCAUUCAUCAGUGGAUGGACAUUUGGGUGGUUUCCACUUUUUGGCUAUUAUGAAUCAUGCUGCUAUGUACAUUUGUGUACAAGUUUUGUGUGGCCAUAUGUUUUCAUUGCUGCUGGGUACAUAUCUAGGAGUGGAAUUGCUGUGACUCCUGGCCUUUGCACUCUGCCUCCUUGGCUAGAGAUCCAGUAUCUUCCUUGACAGGCCCAACUAUCUCAUCCUUCAGGUCUCUUAAAGGAAGCCUCGCUGACUCCCAUGGCUGAGUUGGGUCUUCUGUGCCACCCUAUCUCCAACCUUUGCACAUUUCAUAUGGCGAUGUGAUUGCCUGGGUCCUGGUCAUGGCCCCCACAGGUGAGCAACUUGAGAGAGACCGUCUGCUUUUGUUCACCACUGUCCAUUCCAGUGCCUGGCUCUCCUGCCGCUGGAAAGACAAGAGACAGAUUCUGAGCAAUCAGGAAAGGCUUCCUGGAGGACGUGGGGCUGGAGUUGGGUUGAUAGGUUGGUUUGCCCCAGAGCUGGGCAGAGGGCUUUGAUGGCUUCCAUGGAAGAAAGGUGAGGAGAGCUUAGAGAAAGGAAGGAUGGAUGGGUGACAAGCAGGCAGAGAACAAAGCUCAGAGCCCCCGGGCUGUUUAGUCUCGGCCCCUCUAAGGCUGCAAAGUGCCAGUGACUCAGAUGUGGAGGGAGGCUCACACGCUGCAGCGUGAGGCUCCCACAUUAACCCUCACCUGCCUGGAAUCGAAAAGCCACAAUGGAAGCACUCGGCACGCGGCGUUAACCCUCAGCUGCCCAGUCCUUGAGCCCCAGGGCCAAGGGCUGUGGACAUGGCCUUGAGAUCCCCGGGAAGGCCCCGCCCUCUCUCCCCCCAGAAUCUGAUUACGUUAGGCUCAGCCUUCUGAUGCCCGGUGGUGAACUUGCCCAGAGAGCACCUAAACACCGUGGAGCGGCCAGCGGCUUGAGCGCCCAUAGACAGACAAGUGUCCUAAGAAUUGGUGCCUCUUCUAGGGAAAAGGAGGCCUGGGCUCCAAGACCUUAAAGACUCGCCUAAUUUUCCGCACGGAUGAGUAGCCCCAGGCCCAGUUCGGAUCCGUCUUUAUCUCACCGUCUGUGUCAGAGAAAUAUGUC
rnacentral:lncRNA from 1 species